AUACAGUGGGUCACGUGGCUGAGCCCUCCUUAAAGAGGCAGAAGUUUGAGCUUACGAAGUAGUCAGAAGAGUUGCUCUUCUCCACCUUUCUUCAGAAAGAGAACAUCCCUUCAGGAUCAGGACAUCCAAUCCUACAGAGCUCAGAGUUGCAGGGAUGCGAGAAGAAAAUCCCAGUGAUUCAGUAGAAGUCAUAGAUAUUUCCAUGCUACCCAGGCUGGAGUGCAGUGGCAUGAUCAUAGCUUACUUCAGCCUCAACCUCAUGGACUUGAGAAAUCCUCCUAAUUCAGCCUCCAGAGUAGCUGGGAUCACAGGCUGCUACCACAGUCAGGGGCAGCUACAGGCAUCUUCACAAUUCAAUGCUGCAACCUCAAUGCCUAGAACAACACUUGGUGCAGGCUGGAACUCAGAGGCAAAACGGUCAGCAGAUGUGGCCUCCAUCCUCUUGGCAUCCUUUUGCAAGUCAGACAAUGUGCUUUGGCUGGGACACAGCUGGACCACAGGUACUAAGUCUAUGGAUCAUUAA
rnacentral:lncRNA from 13 species